rnacentral:rRNA from 1 species
CCUACGGGUGGCAGCAGUGAGGAAUAUUGGUCCAUGGACGCAAGUCUGAACCAGCCAUGCCGCGUGCAGGAAGACGGCUCUAUGAGUUGUAAACUGCUUUUGUACGAGGGUAAACGCAGAUACGCGUAUCUGUCUGAAAGUAUCGUACGAAUAAGGAUCGGCUAACUCCGUGCCAGCAGCCGCGGUAAUCCGGAGGAUGCGAGAGUUAUCCGGAUUUAUUGGGUUUAAAGGGUGCGUAGGCGGGCAUUUAAGUCGGCGGUCAAAGGUCGGGGCUCAACCCCGGCCUGCCGUCGGUACUGGGUGCCAUGAGUGGGCGAGAAGUAUGCGGAAUGCGUGGUGUAGCGGUGAAAUGCAUAGAUAUCACGCAGAACCCCGAUUGCGAAGGCAGCAUACCGGCGCCCGACUGACGCUGAGGCACGAAAGUGCGGGUAUCGAACAGGAUUAGAUACCCUUGUAGUC